CCUGGGGCUCGCGCCCCAGGCUGGGAUAUAUCGCCGCUUCGGGGCU
rnacentral:sRNA from 1 species